AUUGAACGCUGGCGGCAGGCUUAACACAUGCAAGUCGAGCGGAGAGAGGUAGCUUGCUACUGAUCUUAGCGGCGGACGGGUGAGUAAUGCUUAGGAAUCUGCCUAUUAGUGGGGGACAACAUUUCGAAAGGAAUGCUAAUACCGCAUACGUCCUACGGGAGAAAGCAGGGGAUCUUCGGACCUUGCGCUAAUAGAUGAGCCUAAGUCGGAUUAGCUAGUUGGUGGGGUAAAGGCCUACCAAGGCGACGAUCUGUAGCGGGUCUGAGAGGAUGAUCCGCCACACUGGGACUGGGACACGGCCCAGACGCCUACGGGAGGCAGCAGUGGGGAAUAUUUGACAAUGGGCGCAAGCCUGAUCCAGCCAUGCCGCGUGUGUGAAGAAGGCCUUAUGGUUGUAAAGCACUUUAAGCGAGGAGGAGGCUACUUUAGAUAAUACCUAGAGAUAGUGGACGUUACUCGCAGAAUAAGCACCGGCUAACUCUGUGCCAGCAGCCGCCGUAAAAC
rnacentral:rRNA from 1 species